AUUGAACGCUGGCGGCAGGCUUAACACAUGCAAGUCGAGCGGGGGAAGGUAGCUUGCUACCGGACCUAGCGGCGGACGGGUGAGUAAUGCUUAGGAAUCUGCCUAUUAGUGGGGGACAACAUUUCGAAAGGGAUGCUAAUACCGCAUACGUCCUACGGGAGAAAGCAGGGGAUCUUCGGACCUGGCGCUAAUAGAUGAGCCUAAGUCGGAUUAGCUAGUUGGUGGGGUAAAGGCCUACCAAGGCGACGAUCUGUAGCGGGUCUGAGAGGAUGAUCCGCCACACUGGGACUGAGACACGGCCCAGACUCCUACGGGAGGCAGCAGUGGGGAAUAUUGGACAAUGGGGGGAACCCUGAUCCAGCCAUGCCGCGUGUGAAGAAGGCCUUAUGGUUGUAAAGCACUUUAAGCGAGGAGGAGGCUACUUUAGUUAAUACCUAGAGAUAGUGGACGUUACUCGCAGAAUAAGCACCGGCUAACUCUGUGCCAGCCGCCGCCGUAA
rnacentral:rRNA from 1 species